CCACGCCGUAAACUAUGAUUACUCGGAGUUUGAAAUUAAUUUAAGCUCCCAAGCGAAAGCGAUAAGUAAUCCACCUGGGGAGUACGUCGGCAACGAUGAAACUCAAAGGAAUUGACGGGGGCCCGCACAAGCGGAGGAACAUGUGGUUUAAUUCGAUGAUACGCGAGGAACCUUACCUGGGAUUGAAAUGUAUAGGCCGGCUUUUGGAAACAAGAGUCAUUCACUUCGGUGACUUAUAUGUAGGUGCUGCAUGGUUGU
rnacentral:rRNA from 1 species